rnacentral:rRNA from 1 species
GAUGAACGCUGGCGGCGUGCCUAAUACAUGCAAGUCGAGCGAACCGACGAGGAGCUUGCUCCUCUGACGUUAGCGGCGGACGGGUGAGUAACACGUGGAUAACCUACCUAUAAGACUGGGAUAACUUCGGGAAACCGGAGCUUAUACCGGAUAAUAUAUUGAACCGCAUGGUUCAAUAGUGAAAGACGGUUUUGCUGUCACUUAUAGCUGGAUACGCGCCGCAUUAGCUAGUUGGUAAGGUAACGGCUUACCAAGGCAACGAUGCGUAGCCGACCUGAAAGGGUGAUCGGCCACACUGGAACUGAGACACGGUCCAGACUCCGACGGGAGGAAGCAGUAGGGAAUCUUCCGCAAGGGGCGAAAGCCUGACGGAGCAACGCCGCGGGAGUGAUGAAGGUCUUCGGAUCGUAAAACUCUGUUAUUAGGGAAGAACAAAUGUGUAAGUAACUAUGCAGGUCUUGACGGUACCGAAUCAGAAAGCCACGGCUAACUACGUG